rnacentral:rRNA from 1 species
GACGUAGGGCGCGAGCGUUGUCCGGAUUUAUUGGGCGUAAAGAGCUCGUAGGCGGCUUGUCGCGUCGACUGUGAAAUCCCGCGGCUCAACUGCGGGUCUGCAGUCGAUACGGGCAGGCUAGAGUUCGGUAGGGGAGACUGGAAUUCCUGGUGUAGCGGUGAAAUGCGCAGAUAUCAGGAGGAACACCGAUGGCGAAGGCAGGUUGCUGGGCUGACACUGACGCUGAUGCGCGAAAGCUAGGGGAGCGAACGGG